AUAUUUCAGUAAUUUCACAGGAACAAAAUGCGCCGCCAAUAUUAUAUGUAAGAGAACGAAAUUGGCGAAUUUCGGAAUCGGAAGAGGUGGGUCAGAUUAUUGAUCGCGUUCGUGCCGAAGACGCAGACGGAGAUGAUCUCGUAUUCGGAAUUGAACCGCGCUUCCUUCCGCUCAUCGGCUCGAGUCAACAGACAAAUACACAGGGCAAACUGCCCUUCCGUAUAGAUCGCAAUACAGGUGUCGUCUAUCUGAACGAGAGCCUAUCAGGACGGGCCGGUGAAAAUUUUCUGAUAUAUAUAACUGUGUCGGAUGGACGCUACACAGC